GCGUCGAUGGAUGAGCCGAAGUCGGAUUAGCUAGUUGGUAGGGUAACGGCCUACCAAGGCGACGAUCCGUAGCUGGUCUGAGAGGACGACCAGCCACACUGGGACUGAGACACGGCCCAG
rnacentral:rRNA from 1 species